GCGCGUGCCUAAUACAUGCAAGUCGAGCGGACAGAUGGGAGCUUGCUCCCUGAUGUUAGCGGCGGACGGGUGAGUAACACGUGGGUAACCUGCCUGUAAGACUGGGAUAACUCCGGGAAACCGGGGCUAAUACCGGAUGGUUGUCUGAACCGCAUGGUUCAGACAUAAAAGGUGGCUUCGGCUACCACUUACAGAUGGACCCGCGGCGCAUUAGCUAGUUGGUGAGGUAACGGCUCACCAAGGCGACAAUGCGUAGCCGACCUGAGAGGGUGAUCGGCCACACUGGGACUGAGACACGGCCCAGACUCCUACGGGAGGCAGCAGUAGGGAAUCUUCCGCAAUGGACGAAAGUCUGACGGAGCAACGCCGCGUGAGUGAUGAAGGUUUUCGGAUCGUAAAGCUCUGUUGUUAGGGAAGAACAAGUGCCGUUCAAAUAGGGCGGCACCUUGACGGUACCUAACCAGAAAGCCACGGCUAACUACGUGCCAGCAGCCGCGGUAAUACGUAGGUGGCAAGCGUUGUCCGGAAUUAUUGGGCGUAAAGGGCUCGCAGGCGGUUUCUUAAGUCUGAUGUGAAAGCCCCCGGCUCAACCGGGGAGGGUCAUUGGAAACUGGGGAACUUGAGUGCAGAAGAGGAGAGUGGAAUUCCACGUGUAGCGGUGAAAUGCGUAGAGAUGUGGAGGAACACCAGUGGCGAAGGCGACUCUCUGGUCUGUAACUGACGCUGAGGAGCGAAAGCGUGGGGAGCGAACAGGAUUAGAUACCCUGGUAGUCCACGCCGUAAACGAUGAGUGCUAAGUGUUAGGGGGUUUCCGCCCCUUAGUGCUGCAGCUAACGCAUUAAGCACUCCGCCUGGGGAGUACGGUCGCAAGACUGAAACUCAAAGGAAUUGACGGGGGCCCGCACAAGCGGUGGAGCAUGUGGUUUAAUUCGAAGCAACGCGAAGAACCUUACCAGGUCUUGACAUCCUCUGACAAUCCUAGAGAUAGGACGUCCCCUUCGGGGGCAGAGUGACAGGUGGUGCAUGGUUGUCGUCAGCUCGUGUCGUGAGAUGUUGGGUUAAGUCCCGCAACGAGCGCAACCCUUGAUCUUAGUUGCCAGCAUUCAGUUGGGCACUCUAAGGUGACUGCCGGUGACAAACCGGAGGAAGGUGGGGAUGACGUCAAAUCAUCAUGCCCCUUAUGACCUGGGCUACACACGUGCUACAAUGGACAGAACAA
rnacentral:rRNA from 1 species